rnacentral:rRNA from 1 species
ACGGCUCACCAAGGCGACGAUACAUAGCCGACCUGAGAGGGUGAUCGGCCACACUGGGACUGAGACACGGCCCAGACUCCUACGGGAGGCAGCAGUAGGGAAUCUUCGGCAAUGGACGGAAGUCUGACCGAGCAACGCCGCGUGAGUGAAGAAGGUUUUCGGAUCGUAAAGCUCUGUUGUAAGAGAAGAACGAGUGUGAGAGUGGAAAGUUCACACUGUGACGGUAUCUUACCAGAAAGGGACGGCUAACUACGUGCCAGCAGCCGCGGUAAUACGUAGGUCCCGAGCGUUGUCCGGAUUUAUUGGGCGUAAAGCGAGCGCAGGCGGUUAGAUAAUGUCUGAAGUUAAACGGCUGUGGCUUAACCAUAGUACGCUUUGGAAACUGUUUAACUUGAGGCAAGAGGGGAGAGUGGAUUCCAUGUGUAGCGGUGAAAUGCGUAGAUAUAUGGAGGAACACCGGUGGCGAAAGCGGCUCUCUGGCUUGUAACUGACGCUGAGGCUCGAAAGCGUGGGGAGCAAACAGGAUUA